AAAGACAGCAUCUCCCCACUCCUCCCACGCCCUGUGCACCCAAUCCCCUCCUCCUCCUCCCUCACGAACCCUAGCCGCCUCCAUGUUCGCUUCCUCCUCCUCCUCCUCCUCCAUCCUCCCGCGCCAGUCGCACCCUCCCUCUCCUGCAUCUCUUCCACCCCGAGAUCCGAGGUGUGCAGGCGCGGAGGCGCGCUUCCCUGGCGGCAGCGGCAACCUACAGGCAAAGGGCGACGGCGGACCAAAGGGCGACAGCGGCGACCUCGGUUCGAUCUGUGGGAGAGAGAAUAUGAGAGGGAGAAGAAGAAAGGAGAGGAUGGAGAAAGAGAGAGGAAAUAGGAGAAGGAGGCGACGUCGAAUGGGAGAGGGUCAGUGCGGUGGCGCAGCGGACGGCGGCUCGUGCUGUGGUGCGGCGCCGUCGUCCACGUGCUCCUCCUGAAGCUCCUCCUCUCCACCACGGGUGGAUGCCUGGUGAGGCCAGCGUCCCCUCCACACUCAGGUGCUCCCCCGCUUCCCUCUGUCCCCUUUGUCUCUUCCCCUGACCCUCUCUUUCUGUCACACAUGGAGAGAACCGUGGUGGCAGCACAUCAGAUUUUGCUACGAAAUACAACUUAGUUCUGAAAAUAAGAAACAAAGCUGAUUAAAUCCCCUAUGCAUCUGUUGUUUGUUUGCUGAUUUACUGGGUAGAUCUUGAACUGGACGACACAAAGGAGGUGGCAUUAGUAGUCAUGGAGAUCCUCGUGUUCUGAACAUCAAUUAGUUCCAUGGGGCUAAAUGAUACUGCAAUCUGGCUUUCGUGGCCUAUAUAUAGUAUUUAGUAAAUAAGUCUGUUCCAUAUCCCAUUAAUAUGAAUGCAGCUUGUCAAACUGUUCCCGUUGGUCGUCUAUUUGAUCUUAUUAUUUAGGUAUUAUAGGAAAGUAAGUAUGUACUCCAUUGAGCAAGCUCUUUCUAUCUAUGUGAUUUAUUUUUCUGUGGUUGAUGAAUACAGUAGGAGCCUGGAUCUUUUAACCACAGAGAUGGUGCAUAAAUAAGAAAAACAAUAAGUGCACUAAUGCUUUUCUGGAAUUCCAUUGGUUUUCUGGAAAUUUUGGUGAAAGCAAGAUUUAAGACAGAGAGGUUCAUGUGCUAGGCCAUCGACACACCUCUCUUCAAGGUAAGGUCAGUUCUAAGGUGAGCUCAUCCUAUUUUCUUUCUUCAAUCUCAGGCGAAGAUUCAUCUCUCUAACCUACUACCUCUCUAUAGAAUUUAGAAAUCCGAAAGUUAGAAGAUGUAGGCAGAAUUAGUCAUGCAUUCAAAAGUUAGGGAUUUCAUGCUACAUGCAAAAUGUUUUCUAUUGGGCAGCAACACAUAACAUGUGGCGCUUUAGGGCUGCUUCCUACUGGUUAUCGACAUAAAAUUUAUAAUUUUGUGAUGCCUAGCCUUUUACUGUUGGAAGGAGGAUAUUCAAUGUGGUUCUUUGCCCCCAUUUUUUAUCUAUAUGCAUUGCGUAAAAGUUCUUUGUGUUUUGUUGAUGGAAUAUUGAUACUCAGCUGUGUGCCAAUUUAUAACUAAUCAUAAAAGGGAGAAGAAUAAACUCAAGCACAUUGGAUAAAUGCAACUUGCAGAAAUUUAAUGUUCUCUUCUCCUUUGUAGGUCCCGAGUCGGUUAAUGUUGAUUUUGCUCAUGCACAACCCAUCAUAGGAGUCAGUAGGAUCAUCUUCAAUGGGUGUAUGGACUGCAAUAGCUUUUUUUGUCCUCAUCAGUUAUCCGGUUUAAGGUGUGGUGGAUGGCGCACAAGAUGAAGGACAAGGGCGGCAGCAGCCCACAUGAGACACAACUCCUGCUGGUGGAGUGAAGGCCCCGGGGCCUGCAGCGACGAGGAAGACACGUCGUAGGAAACUAAGCUGGAUGGUGAGAAUGUUGAUGUUGUGGUUACUGGAGAUGAGAACGUGCAGCCUGACCAAACCAAGCCUAAGAGCUGUGUCCCUCACUCUGUUGAGCAUGUUUUGGUUGCACUGGUUAGUUGUUAAAGGCUUAGCAGUACCAACCAUGGCGCUGGUGCCGCGGACUCCCCGCUGUGCGCCGUCUCACCGCUCGUCCCUUCUGGCUGCACCUCCCCAUGUCAUGCUGCAGUUUAUCCCUUGUCGAAGUUCUUCUGUGAUUCAUCUCAUACGCAUCGUUGGCUGUUCUCUUUCGGCUUUUCAAGGUUUCAUCUUCCUCCUUGAAGCUUACUUUCUUAUGUUCAUUUGAUAUUUUGUCUUUAUUCAGUUCUAACUGUGUGUGUCCCGUGUGUUGUGCCUUUUCUUACCUAUUAUUGGUUCAUCUCAAUUAUUAUUUCUAUUUGUUGUUGCUUGCUGCCUGCGUACUUUCUGUGUUGGUUGUUGUUGUCUCAUUGUUUCAUAUGGCCGGCAUCUGUGGCAUAAUAUCUUUUGUCAGGCUGAUUCUAGAAACAGUGGCUGCACACUGUGGUUUGCCUCCUCCUAGCCACCUAUGUGAGGUUGAUGGGAUGGGCAUCUCCUUGCUGGAUUAGAAAUUGAAAUUCCUGGGGAUGGUGUCUUGCUAAUGCCGCAGAGGAAAAAAAAUUGGGCCUCUGGUGGUCAGGGUUCUACGUCAGGGCUUUUGACACUCAUGGAACUAUGUCAAGCCACUGUCGAUACUAUCCCUUUAUUUAGCUUUCUUAAUGAAUCAACUGUUAUGUGUUGUAAAUAUCACAAUUGGACCACCGUUGGCCCUUCCUGCCUUCCCUAGCUACUUAUGACAAUUUCUACUCGUUGUAAAUACCACUGGAUUAUGCUCCUUAAUCUAGCUCUUGCCAUCGUCACCGUAUUGUCUAUGUCUUAUUAUGUUUUUUGUAAGUUGUUGGUCCAUUGGAUUGACUGAGCUAUGAGCCUUUUUCUUUCGCUGGCCUACUUCCCAAGGCAUAUGUUGUGUUGUUCCUAUGCAAAUUCAUUGUAUUAGAUUUUUUGUAUGUCAGUUUCAUUCCAUUUUUACCUGGCUGAUUCUUGCACUGCUACAUAGCAGCUGUUAUGUAUGAUGCAAAUGCAAGGUAAACAAAACUGGGUGUUUUCUUGUGCUCUUCUUUCAGUUCAAAUAGGAAUUAGAAAUUGAGGGUAUACCUCAAUAUUAAGUACAAAUACAAUACAUUCUUUUCGCACAUUCCCUAUUGUCAUUGUGGUUGUCUUCACAAUAUUCGUUUGCGAUUUGGAUGUCUUUGGCCAGUUUCUUAUUGAAAAAAGAAUCAAAUAGGAAAUCAUCUACUAAUUGUUAUUUUUCUGAUCUUAGUUAAGUUCCAUGUGAAGUAGAAACUUCAUGUCUUUGAGAAUAACAUGCUUCAGCCAGGCGGGUUGUCCAGUGUUUGACUUUUUCCUUGGUUUGAUGAUUAUGAUGUAGCUAAUCGGGAAGAUACCUCACGUCGGGGUAUGUCAAGGUGUAGGUGCAGACUCAUUGUUGAUGUUGAAUACUGGAGUAAGAAUGAUGAUCAAUGCUCUGACCGUGCCGCUGGAGAUAAUGGUGCGAGCUCGACCAGUUCAUGGUUAGGACACACAAGCCGCCUAUAUCUUUCUCUCUGUGUCUCCUUCUGUUGCUGUUUGGAACUUGGUGGGCUGGUGGCUGCGUCGGAUUAAUCAAGGGAUUCUGUUUAGCUUAGUUUCAUUACCGGAAAGCCUAAGAGCGGCGUUCUUUAUUGUCUGGUUAAAUCAAUCCCUGCCUCCCGCUGGUCGCCAGCUCCGAUGCUUCGCCGAGUGGAGAACCAGGAAGGAGGAGGGGCGUGAAGGGGAGAAGGGGGUGUGGCGGAGAAGGAGCCACUUUCAUAUCUAUGUUGUCUUAUUAGGAAAAUAGGGUUUGUUUUAUAGCUGAUGCUUAAUAUGUUCUAUCGAUUGGUGAAUGCUGAACUUUAGCUCAUAAACUGGAUGGCAAAUGCUAAAUCUGAUGGGGCUUUUGCCACUUAUUGUUUUAUGGUUGUCUAGACAGCUGAUGGCAUGCUUC